CAGAGCCAUGAGGAGGAGCAGAAGUCUCUCAGAACACUUGAAUUACAAUAUGCUGAAAGGUGCUGCUGUUUCUUCAAGAGGAGGAAGAGGAAAGCUCUCCAGAGACACAAAUGAAGACGAGAGAGAAACCCUGGUCUCUUUGUGCUUUCUCUCUCUCUCUCUCUCUCUCUCUCUCUCCGUCUCUAGCCCUCUUCAUAUAACACUCUCUUUCUCCCUCAGUCCCCCCCCCUUCUGACCCUCAUUCUCUGCUGUCGGAGGUCCUGUAGUUUACCUUGGGUCGGCUGGACUGGCUGGACCACCGGGCAGCAGAAGAUGUUUGCUGAGCUGAUCUACUGGUUUUCGCUGCUCUGGAAUGAGCAGACAGACAGUAACGCGUUUGCUGUUCCACCUCGGAGCUUUAACUGUGGACUAGCUGUACCAGCGGUGGAGUCUUCGUGUAUUUAUGGUCACAAACUGAAACUGGAUCAACACAAACUGCUUGGGGGGGGGGGGACAAGUGACCACAAACACACAGUUGAUAGACUGAUUGGCUGACAGACUGGAUUCAGCUGGUUUCUGGCUAUGUUUUUGUUGUGUUUUUUUCUUCCUUACUGACUGGUUCAGAGGAGUGUAUUUCUGUGGAGAUGGACAACAAAAGGAUGGGAAGCAUCGAGACUGUCGGACCACACAAAACACACACACACACACACACAUAUGUACAAACACGCUGCACACUUUCUCGAGCUCAUCGUAAAGAGACUUCAUGGACAAAAAGAUGCAGCUCUCGCACAUAGUCUAUAAAGUUUUUAUUCCCUCGGGUCAAAGGAAGUACACAUUGAGCGGCUUGGUCUAUUUCCUGCAACGGAUUGAGCUCCGUGUACUUCUCAGACACAUUCACCCCCCCCCAAGAGGAAGACAAACCCUCACAAC